rnacentral:lncRNA from 1 species
CCCCUUUUUAAAAAGUAGAUGCUUCUCUUUUUAUUCUGAUUGGCCUUCUCGGCUUUUACUCUCUGCAGUGCUUCCACUUGAUUCGUCUUCUUUUGUCUGCAAUAUUCCUUUUGAUUUUUCAUUGUCCUCCAUCAUUUUACACCAUUGACAAUCAUGAUAUUUUCCAAGACUUUGUUUUACUGCCUUGCAUAAUUGUCCUUCAUAAUUUUUCGAGACAUUCAAUAAAUUAUAAAAAUUCUUUUCAAAGUUGCACAGUGCUUUGAUUCCUUCAAUCUUGAUCAUUGAACCUGUCUUACUAGUAACCAAGACAAAAUUUGAUGAGUAAUUUAUAUUGAUUUUUGAUUCUUUAUUGAAGGCUCUUAAUCCGGUUAGGAUCCUUUGGUAAGAUAGGCUUUUCCAGUCAUCCAUUUUUUCUUCAUUGACACAUUCAAUCUGUCCUUCUAUUGGUUUAUUCAGAAUAACUUCUGGAGUAGUUCCUUUAACCAAGAGUCCUUCUUCAUUCCAAAAAUGGAAUUGUACUAUUGAUUUUUAACAUCACCUGUAAUUCUUGAU